CGGUUAAGUUAGAAAGGGCGCACGGUGGAUGCCUUGGCACUAGGAGCCGAUGAAGGACGGGACGAACACCGAUAUGCUUCGGGGAGCUGUAAGCAAGCUUUGAUCCGGAGAUUUCCGAAUGGGGAAACCCACCACUCGUAAUGGAGUGGUAUCCAUAUCUGAAUACAUAGGAUAUGAGAAGGCAGACCCGGGGAACUGAAACAUCUAAGUACCCGGAGGAAGAGAAAGCAAAUGCGAUUCCCUGAGUAGCGGCGAGCGAAACGGGACCAGCCCAAACCAAGAGGCUUGCCUCUUGGGGUUGUAGGACACUCUGUACGGAGUUACAAAGGAACGAGGUAGAUGAAGAGGUCUGGAAAGGCCCGCCAUAGGAGGUAACAGCCCUGUAGUCAAAACUUCGUUCUCUCCUGAGUGGAUCCUGAGUACGGCGGAACACGUGAAAUUCCGUCGGAAUCCGGGAGGACCAUCUCCCAAGGCUAAAUACUCCCUAGUGACCGAUAGUGAACCAGUACCGUGAGGGAAAGGUGAAAAGCACCCCGGAAGGGGAGUGAAAGAGAUCCUGAAACCGUGUGCCUACAAGUAGUCAGAGCCCGUUAACGGGUGAUGGCGUGCCUUUUGUAGAAUGAACCGGCGAGUUACGAUCCCGUGCAAGGUUAAGCAGAAGAUGCGGAGCCGCAGCGAAAGCGAGUCUGAAUAGGGCGAAUUGAGUACGUGGUCGUAGACCCGAAACCAGGUGAUCUACCCAUGUCCAGGGUGAAGUUCAGGUAACACUGAAUGGAGGCCCGAACCCACGCACGUUGAAAAGUGCGGGGAUGAGGUGUGGGUAGGGGUGAAAUGCCAAUCGAACCUGGAGAUAGCUGGUUCUCUCCGAAAUAGCUUUAGGGCUAGCCUCAAGGUAAGAGUCUCGGAGGUAGAGCACUGAUUGGACUAGGGGCCCCUACCGGGUUACCGAAUUCAGUCAAACUCCGAAUGCCGAUGACUUAUCCUUGGGAGUCAGACUGCGAGUGAUAAGAUCCGUAGUCGAAAGGGAAACAGCCCAGACCGCCAGCUAAGGUCCCAAAGUAUACGUUAAGUGGAAAAGGAUGUGGAGUUGCUUAGACAACCAGGAUGUUGGCUUAGAAGCAGCCACCAUUUAAAGAGUGCGUAAUAGCUCACUGGUCGAGUGACUCUGCGCCGAAAAUGUACCGGGGCUAAACGUAUCACCGAAGCUGCGGACUGUUCUUCGAACAGUGGUAGGAGAGCGUUCUAAGGGCUGUGAAGCAAGACCGGAAGGACUUGUGGAGCGCUUAGAAGUGAGAAUGCCGGUAUGAGUAGCGAAAGAGGGGUGAGAAUCCCCUCCACCGAAUGCCUAAGGUUUCCUGAGGAAGGCUCGUCCGCUCAGGGUUAGUCGGGACCUAAGCCGAGGCCGAAAGGCGUAGGCGAUGGAUAACAGGUUGAUAUUCCUGUACCACCUCCUCACCAUUUGAGCAAUGGGGGGACGCAGGAGGAUAGGGUAAGCGCGGUAUUGGAUAUCCGCGUCCAAGCAGUUAGGCUGGGAAAUAGGCAAAUCCGUUUCCCGUGAAGGCUGAGCUGUGAUGGCGAGCGAAUUAUAGUAGCGAAGUUCCUGAUUCCACUCUGCCAAGAAAAGCCUCUAGCGAGGUGAGAGGUGCCCGUACCGCAAACCGACACAGGUAGGCGAGGAGAGAAUCCUAAGGUGAUCGAGAGAACUCUCGUUAAGGAACUCGGCAAAAUGACCCCGUAACUUCGGGAGAAGGGGUGCUCUGUUAGGGUGCAAGCCCGAGAGAGCCGCAGUGAAUAGGCCCAGGCGACUGUUUAGCAAAAACACAGGUCUCUGCGAAGCCGUAAGGCGAAGUAUAGGGGCUGACGCCUGCCCGGUGCUGGAAGGUUAAGAGGAGCGCUUAGCGUAAGCGAAGGUGCGAAUUGAAGCCCCAGUAAACGGCGGCCGUAACUAUAACGGUCCUAAGGUAGCGAAAUUCCUUGUCGGGUAAGUUCCGACCCGCACGAAAGGCGCAACGAUCUGGGCACUGUCUCAACGAGAGACUCGGUGAAAUUAUAGUACCUGUGAAGAUGCAGGUUACCCGCGACAGGACGGAAAGACCCCGUGGAGCUUUACUGCAGCCUGAUAUUGAAUGUUGGUACAGCUUGUACAGGAUAGGUAGGAGCCUUGGAAACCGGAGCGCCAGCUUCGGUGGAGGCAUCGGUGGGAUACUACCCUGGCUGUAUUGACCUUCUAACCCGCCGCCCUUAUCGGGCGGGGAGACAGUGUCAGGUGGGCAGUUUGACUGGGGCGGUCGCCUCCUAAAAGGUAACGGAGGCGCCCAAAGGUUCCCUCAGAAUGGUUGGAAAUCAUUCGCAGAGUGUAAAGGCACAAGGGAGCUUGACUGCGAGACCUACAAGUCGAGCAGGGACGAAAGUCGGGCUUAGUGAUCCGGUGGUUCCGCAUGGAAGGGCCAUCGCUCAACGGAUAAAAGCUACCCCGGGGAUAACAGGCUUAUCUCCCCCAAGAGUCCACAUCGACGGGGAGGUUUGGCACCUCGAUGUCGGCUCAUCGCAUCCUGGGGCUGUAGUCGGUCCCAAGGGUUGGGCUGUUCGCCCAUUAAAGCGGUACGCGAGCUGGGUUCAGAACGUCGUGAGACAGUUCGGUCCCUAUCCGUCGCGGGCGCAGGAAAUUUGAGAGGAGCUGUCCUUAGUACGAGAGGACCGGGAUGGACGCACCGCUGGUGUACCAGUUGUUCUGCCAAGGGCAUCGCUGGGUAGCUAUGUGCGGACGGGAUAAGUGCUGAAAGCAUCUAAGCAUGAAGCCCCCCUCAAGAUGAGAUUUCCCAUUCCGCAAGGAAGUAAGAUCCCUGAAAGAUGAUCAGGUUGAUAGGUCUGAGGUGGAAGUGUGGCGACACAUGGAGCUGACAGAUACUAAUCGAUCGAGGACUUAACCAAUUU
rnacentral:rRNA from 1 species